ACAAAAAAAUUCACACACAAAGCUACGCAUAGGACCCCCCUCUCAGAUCGUCUUCUCCAAACACCCCUUUCCCCACUGCCUUUUCUUCAACAACAAAACCAACAAACACCAUAACAAGGAGCCGCUGCUGCUUCUCCAUCUUGUGACCCCUCGCUGGAAACAACCAGCGAGAACCACAGAGACCACCGUCGUUUACCUCCACUUUGAUCCAAUCGCCGACGAACCAAACAACACCCUUCAUUUUCGCUUGCUUCAACCUAGAACGACCUGAAACCAGCAACACAAAAAUGCACACACACUCACAAAUAGAGAGAAAGGAAGCUGUUGUUCUUGUAAUUUUAUUUGGUUUUAGCUUCUGUCUCGCCGGCGACAGAUCCGACAUUCCCGUCAGCUUGUGUUUUCAGGUGAUUUUCAGUCCAAAACAACACCUGAACACAAAAAUUCCGGUCAGAGCUUGAGUCUUGUUGAGGUUUCCGUUCGAGGUUCGGUGGCAGUUUGGCUUUUGCUCCGAUUUUUCUAUUCGACUUUUAGUAGCGUAUCAGGUUUUGUUGUUAUUGAGAUGUUGGUGAUAGUAUGUUUUUGACGAAAUUGAAGGUCUGCUCUCCUGCCAAAAUUCUGUCCUUCACCCAUGAAGUUUUUUUUUUUCGUUUCUGUCACUAUCCUUAUUGGCAAAAUUAUGUACUAAUCUUGUUCUUGACCAUUGAAGUGCUUAGCUUAUUUGCUAUACUUUUGUUCAUUUA